AGGUGAGUUUGUUUACAGAAUUGCGUUGCAGGGAUUGAAGGAGGCAGCCACAAUUAUCCAUCAUUAUCGUCGUCACCAUGGCUUCUGAGAAGACAGAUCCCGAUGACAGCGUGGGGAGCGAUGAGGGAGGGGUCAACCAGCGGAGGGAGGACGGCGGCGAGGGAGGGAGCACGAGCCCUACUUUGAACCAAUGGUGACCUUGCCAGAAGUCUUCGUGAUCAGUGAUGAUGACCAGGAGGAGGAAAUGAUAAGACUGAGUUUCUAGAUCAAGUCAGGCGGUGCAGGCUGUUUCAUUAUCACACCUCUGAGUUGCCCCCAGAGUGGAAGGAACGAGGCUGAGGAACAAGCAGAAGGCUGUGGAGUUUGCUCAGCAGCAGAAUUAAUGCCAGUGGCUGAGUUCAGAUCCUCCAAGACACACACACACACACACACACACACACAGCAGCACCACCUCCUCACAGUCCUCCACAGCCCCUGACACAGCGUCAGACACAGCCUGACAGCCUUCAGACCACCAAAACAUCACCACAGCCUACCACAGGCCCUUCACAGACCAUUGCAGACUUCUCGCACACCACAGGAACCUCACAAACAGCCCCACAUGCCACCAUAGACACACUAGACCCCCAGCCCAUCACCUCACCCACUUCCCAGCCCCCACAGCCCCACAGCUCCCAGAAAUGAAGCCAAAGGAAGGGACUGUUUUGCUUCACCCAGCAUCCCAGGAGAGCCUAGAGAGAGGGGGCUAAUCCCAGUGAAGUCACAAAAUAUAGUCUUGAUUCUUCCUACAGUUUGAAGUUAAUGAUUGGACAGAUGGAAAGUGCUUGGCCACCUGUGUCACGGCUGUCUUUGAUCUUCCCAUCUUCCUUCCAGUCUCGGUUACUGACCUCAACUCAAAGACCAUCACAGCACUACUUUUCAUUGUUAAACUUGCUGGGAUCCAUUAUAAUGUAAGGGGAAUUAAAUGUCUUCUGAUUUUAGUAGACAUGUAAUAUCUUUUCAUAUUGAAAACUCUAUUUUAUCCUGUAUGUGAACACCUUCAAGUUACAAUACACCCCACUGUUUAAGAGUUAAAUGUGCAUAUAAAUGUUUUCUGUUGUGCCUUCUGUGUUGUGUAAUGUUGCAGUGAAAUGGUUGAAUUCCAGACUGAGUUGUGAGUCACACAUGUCUGUCAAGCAACAGGAGUAUAGAUGUGUGUUUUCCCUGCAGGUGGUAACACGGAGAGCAAGUGGAAGAAACCUUGGGAGACUUCUAUAACUCAGGAGCAAGAAGUACACCAUACUGGAACCUUGUGACUGACUGUUGGUGGUGACUGCAGGAACCAACAUUCAGAUGCCUGUCUUCUGCUAGCGAACAUCCUGUCUGCAAUCAGGUUUGUAGUGCCAUGUCACAGGGUCUGACAUCAGGAAGAGCCAAAUGGAGGGCAUCUACAGCCAGUACUGGGUGUGCUGCUGUAGAAGUGUCAAGCCAGGUGCCACAGCACAUCGUGUCAGCUGACUCCACCAGUACAUUGGUGCAGUCCAGGAUGCAUUGCUGUAUGACGUGCAUGUCUGGCAAUAAAUAAAUUUGUCUAUUCUUAUA